AUUGAACGCUGGCGGCAGGCCUAACACAUGCAAGUCGAACGGUAGCACAGAGAGCUUGCUCUCGGGUGACGAGUGGCGGACGGGUGAGUAAUGUCUGGGAAACUGCCUGAUGGAGGGGGAUAACUACUGGAAACGGUAGCUAAUACCGCAUAACGUCGCAAGACCAAAGAGGGGGACCUUCGGGCCUCUUGCCAUCAGAUGUGCCCAGAUGGGAUUAGCUAGUAGGUGGGGUAACGGCUCACCUAGGCGACGAUCCCUAGCUGGUCUGAGAGGAUGACCAGCCACACUGGAACUGAGACACGGUCCAGACCUCGUACGGGAGGCAGCAGUGGGGAAUAUUGCACAAGUGGGACGCAAGUCCGUGAUGCAGCCAU
rnacentral:rRNA from 1 species